UUUUUUUGGGUAUCUGUCUAGGUCUUUGGUCCAUUUUUAAUCAGGUCAUUCAUUUUCUUGUUCAGUUUUGAGAGUUCCUUGCACGGUUUGGAUAACAGCCUUUAUCAGAUGAGUCUUUUACAGAUACGUUCUCCCUGUCUGUGGCCUACCCUCUCAUGCUCCUGAGACACUAUGUUUAUUUUUAAAAACACUUUAGACAGAAGAUGGACCUCCCAGCCCACCACGGUUCUCAUUUUGGCCGUGGUCACCACCCUCCCAGCCCUGGUUCCCACCUUUCCACGAUCUGCUGGUCCUAUGGGGGUCAACCCAUACCAAGUCCCUAACAUAUCUCCAAUGAUGGCAACGUCAAAGCAGGCAGUUUGCAGGUAGGAAGAAGCUGAUGGAGGCCAGUGUAGAGUGUGAAGGCCAGCAGCUUCAUCCCUUGGGGACAGGCAGGUCUCUCAGAUGUCCCUCUGGGUCACCUUCCAAAUGAAGUACCUGCCUUGGCCGUGGGCAGGAAGCAGGACCUGGCCCAGAUCUCUGCAUAUUUGACCUGGCACGGCAUUUACAGGUGAGCCUCCGUAACCGGAAACUCUACUCUCUGGGGAGAAUGCAUUUUCAUUAUCAAGGCUUUUAGGCUUUUAAUUAAGAAACCAAAGACCAGUGCCUGAAGCGAGGAUGCAGGGACUCUGCAUGACCCACAUGCUCAUUUCCACCUGGUGCAAAGGACCCUGGAGUGAGGGUGCAGUGCCUGCUUUGAGUCACCAGCACACUCAUCGUUUCUACUUAAAGAACCUGUGAGUCUGUCCCAGGACUUUUUCGCCUAGACCUGAAAAUUCGCAGCCCAGGAAACCCUAACCAUUUUAGGAACCUGAGGGGUGGGCCAAGGGGAUCUCACAGAGUUUGGUGCUGGCUAUGGGGCCAGAAAAGGGCAACUGGGUCUUCCCGCAAGCACUCCCGGGAGGCCGUGCACUGGACCGAGGCUGGUUCUGCCUCCUGUCCUCGGUUCUCAUGCCCAGCCAUGAGGAGAGCCCCCCAUUCAGGAGUGGUCUCUGGCUCCAGGCCCUAACGUCCGUGUCCAGGCCCCUGAGAGGGCUGCUUCUACCCC
rnacentral:lncRNA from 1 species